UAAAUAAAACCGCAACACAUUACAGAUAACUCAUUUAUUGUUCAUUAAUGUAAUGGUGAAGAUGAAGAAUUUCUUACUUAUUCUAAUUUUUAGUCAAGUUGUCAAAACACAACUGCACUAUAAUUCUCCAACUUCCAUAAAAACAUUGAUGAGUGACAUUGUAGAAAUGAAAAAAUCUAUUUCCGAGUUGGGUGAGAAUUAUUUAAAGAUUUAAUAAAUUUUUCACAUCAGCAGGUUACCUUAAAGAGAAAAAACAACGAGGUGUGAUGAAAUUGGUUCAUAUCAACCUUUUUUUCAUACAUUACUAAGUACUCUUCAGCUAUCGAUUAAUAAGCUAUCAUUCCUUGAUGAAAAAAUAAACAUUAAUACCAAGAUUGAAAUUAAAAUAAAUGAGUUAGAAGAAAAAUUAG